UAAAAGGAGCCCUUGCUCACCAUGCGCACGUCAGAUAAACUAACAAAUCUAGUCAUUAUCUUAAUAAGUGUAUUGAACUUAGAUAAGGUAAUACAAAUGAGAGGGUAUUGAUAUCAAUAUAUUAAUCUAAAAGAUUAGAAUACAACAACAAGGACCUCUUGCCUACCACUUACAAGCUGAUUAAGCUAACAAAUCUAAUUAAUAUCAUGAUAAGUGUAUUGAACUUAGACAAGAUAACACAAAUGAAAGGACAUUAAACUUUGACCCAC
rnacentral:lncRNA from 1 species